CUACUGUGCAAAGCGGCCUUGUGGAGUGAUCUUCUUACUAGUAAAAUUUGCACACCAAUAAUAAAACGAAGGUUGCAAAAUAAAGAGCUAUGGCAUCUGCAUGUACUGCUAGUUCAUGACAAAUGAACAUUUAUUGUCCAUCUCUUCAAAUUGAAAAGACUGCAGAGCCUGAAUUACCUGCAACGUUAUGCUUCUUAUGAAACAUCAGCCAGCCUACAGAUAGAAGCUCCCUUUUCCAGCUUUAAGCAAGAGGAACCACAAUGAGAUACAGAUCUUGGUAUCAUGGACUGUUCACUUUUUACAACCA